rnacentral:rRNA from 1 species
GUGGGGAAUCUUCCGCAAUGGACGAAAGUCUGACGGAGCAACGCCGCGUGAGUGAUGAAGGUCUUCGGAUUGUAAAACUCUGUUGUCAGGGACGAAUGUGCGAACGUUGAAUAAGCGUUUGUAUUGACGGUACCUGACGAGGAAGCCACGGCUAACUACGUGCCAGCAGCCGCGGUAAUACGUAGGUGGCAAGCGUUGUCCGGAAUUAUUGGGCGUAAAGAGCAUGUAGGCGGGCUUUUAAGUCCGACGUGAAAAUGCGGGGCUUAACCCCGUAUGGCGUUGGAUACUGGAAGUCUUGAGUGCAGGAGAGGAAAGGGGAAUUCCCAGUGUAGCGGUGAAAUGCGUAGAUAUUGGGAGGAACACCAGUGGCGAAGGCGCCUUUCUGGACUGUGUCUGACGCUGAGAUGCGAAAGCCAGGGUAGCAAACGGGAUUAGAAACCCUUGUAGUCC